rnacentral:rRNA from 1 species
CCAAUAGCGUAUAUUAAAGUUGUUGCAGUUAAAAAGCUCGUAGUUGAAUUUCGGAAUCAAUUUGUUGGUCGUGCCUCGGUACGUACUGGUAUUAUUGGUUUCUACCUUCUGAAGAACCUUGAUGUCAUUAAUUUGGUGUCUUGGGGAAUCAGGACUGUUACUUUGAAAAAAUUAGAGUGUUUAAAGCAAGCAUACGCUUGAAUACAUUAGCAUGGAAUAAUGAAAUAGGACGUUUGAUUCUAUUUUGUUGGUUUCUAGGAUCGACGUAAUGAUUAAUAGGGAUAGUUGGGGGCAUUAGUAUUCAAUUGUCAGAGGUGAAAUUCUUGGAUUUAUUGAAGACUAACUACUGCGAAAGCAUUUGCCAAGGAUGUUUUCAUUAAUCAAGAACGAAAGUUAGGGGAUCGAAGACGAUCAGAUACCGUCGUAGUCUUAACCAUAAACUAUGCCGACUAGGGAUCGGAUGAUGUUAAUUUUUUAAUGACUCA